CAGCUGUGGACUCGAUCAACUGCUGGGACAAUAAUCAAGUGAAAUCAUGAUGAAGAUACUGGUACUGCUUGGAUGUCUCCUGAGUCUGGCUCUGGCUCUUCCAGUGGACGAAGUGCAUGAGAGAAUUGCUCGUUCUUCCUCUGACUCCAAUUCCAGAGAGAUGGGGCGGUAUCCGUCAUUCUACCCACCGUAUCCCCGGUUCCCCCCACCACCACCACCAACACAGAACCAGGCCGACCUAUGGGCCUUGUUCCUGCAAUUCCUGCUGGCUAACUCCCCCCCGGCCCCGCCUCCAGUUCCGACCUAAAGACCCUAAAAUCAGUUUGUUAUCCUCUGUAUGACUUCUAUAAUAAAUCAUGC